UAACCGCGGACUAUGAACAGUAACGCCGCCAUGAACAGUAACCACACAUGCUGUGAACAGUACUCUGACAAUGAACAGUAACGCGGGUCCCAUGAAUAGUGCACGUGAAUAAUAACGCGUGAAUAGUGAAUAGUAACGGGGUACAUGAAUAGUAAAUUUUGUCUCACAUCAACAGAAUCAACUUUACCGUUAGCAGAAAAUCAGAAUGAACAUUUGUUUAACUGUAAUACCGAACAAUUUUAUAGCUGAUAGAGUUAUGUACCUAUGAUUUAUAGUUUAUUGGCUUACUCACCAGUUGAUGCAAUGAUGAAGCAAACGAAGAGAGCAAGAAAGGCAGCAUAGAGAGACUUAUCCAUAUUACUGAAUUGUUUUUCUUGAUUUUUAAUUAAUGACUAAGCGAGGAUUUAACAUUCACAUUUUAUAGAGAAAGGAAAGAGGGAAA
rnacentral:lncRNA from 1 species